CCUACGGGAGGCAGCAGUGGGGAAUAUUGCACAAUGAGCGAAAGCCUGAUGCAGCGACGCCGCGUGCAGGAUGAAGGUCUUCGGAUUGUAAAGCUCUGUUAUCAGGGAAGAACAUUUACAUUGGUAAAUGGUUGUGCACUGACGGUACCUUGACAGAAAGCGCUGGCUAACUCUGUGCCAGCAGCCGCGGUAAUACAGAGGGUGCGAGCGUUAACCGGAAUUAUUGGGCGAAAAGCGCUCGUAGGCUGUUUGUAAAGUCUGGGGUAAAAUCCCGGGGCUCAACCGCGGCUCGCUUUGGAUACUGGCAAACUAGAGUUAGUGAGAGGUAAGCGGAAUUCCAGGUGAAGCGGUGAAAUGCGUAGAUAUAUGGAAGAACACCAGAGGCGAAGGCGGCUUACUGGGACGUAACUGACGCUGAGGGACGAAAGCGUGGGGAGCAAACAGGAUUAGAUAGCCUUGUAGUC
rnacentral:rRNA from 1 species